rnacentral:lncRNA from 1 species
GAACAAAACCAACGCAGAGCAGUGACUUCCUGUCAGAGCAGAAGACCAGCUUUCUAGACUAGGCCACAUGAAGGUUGAAAAUUUUAUUUGCUGUCUGGAGAACACUCUGAAUAGAGAAAGCUCAAAGCACCUUGGAUUCCUUUCAUUCUUCGGGUCAUUGUUUGGUGUUUUAUUCAAUGAGUACUUCCUAAAUAUGUUUACAGAGGAAGACAGGCUCAGCAUGUUAUCUAGCAUGACAUGGCAUCUGGAGAUGGCAAUAUUGUGAGAGAAGAAGUUGUGAAAGAGAAUGCUGCCGGGUCUCCCGUAAUGAGGAAAUGGUUAAAUCCACGCUGAUCCCGGCUGUGAUUUCUGAGAGAAGGCUCUAUUUUCGUGAUUGUUCAACACACAGCCAACAUUUUAGGAACUUUCUAGAUUAUAGCAUAAGGACAUGUAAUUUUUGAAGACCAAAUGUGAUGCAUGGUGGAUCCAGAAAACAAAAAGUAGGAUACUUACAAUCCAUAACAUCCAUAUGACUGAACACUUGUAUGUGUUUGUUAAAUAUUCGAAUGCAUGUAGAUUUGUUAAAUGUGUGUGUAUAGUAACACUGAAGAACUAAAAAUGCAAUUUA